rnacentral:lncRNA from 1 species
GCUGCCUCUACCAAAAUACAAUUUUUUGAAGCACAUUAAUUGUCAUUGUUUUGUUCUUCUUUUUCAGAAUGCCUCGUGCUAUUAUAUCCUGGCGAAACGGGCCAUCAAACACAGAUUUCCAAAUCAAUUGGACAAUGGUUUUCUCAGUUUGCCACAGAAGAAACAAAGUAAGUUUACCUGUCCCCCUCUGUUCACUUUACCCUAUGAAUGACUAACUUUGUUCAUAAAUUAUACAAUUAUCAGAACAGUCAGAAUCAUCAGAUAUGAUUCGUAAUAGUCGAUGUUUAUUUUUACGGUUGCACUUGGAUAUUGUCCUUUUUCAAGGAUGGCUGCUAAAUACCAGUUUCCAUCCAUUUGUGUGUCCUAAUAGAAUUUUUGACUUUUUAUUCUGCUGCCCUACAAUAUUAUGAAAGCUGUGUUCAACUGAAAAAUUCAAAAUACAAAUAUCAUUUGCACAAAGGUAAGAAAAGACAGAAGCAGGGAAGCACGAGUUUGAGACAAAAAGGCUGUCAAGUAGCAGCCAGUCAUCUUCAAGCUCUGAUGAAAAGUCGGAAAUCUUGGGAGGCUUCUCCGAAGGGUCAGCCACUCCGUAAAUGGCCUGCAAAUAAAACAUUAGUGACAGCGGCCAGCGCAAGUCUUGCACUCGCUGCUACUUGC